rnacentral:rRNA from 1 species
CUACGGGAGGCACCAGUAAGGAAUAUUGCGCAAUGGAGGCAACUCUGACGCAGCCAUGCCGCGUGCAGGAAGAAGGCCUUAUGGGUCGUAAACUGCUUUUAUUUAGGAAUAAACCCCCGAACGUGUUCGGGGCUGAAGGUACUAAACGAAUAAGCACCGGCUAACUCCGUGCCAGCAGCCGCGGUAAUACGGAGGGUGCAAGCGUUAUCCGGGUUUAUUGGGUUUAAAGGGUGCGCAGGCGGGCUAUUAAGUCAGUGGUGAAAUCCCGGGGCUCAACUCCGGAACUGCCAUUGAUACUGAUAGUCUUGAGUUUGGUUGAAGUGGGCGGAAUGUAGCAUGUAGCGGUGAAAUGCAUAGAUAUGCUACAGAACACCAAUCGCGAAGGCAGCUCACUAAGCCAAAACUGACGCUCAUGCACGAAAGCGUGGGGAUCAAACAGGAUUAGAUACCCCAGUAGUC